GGAUGUGAGGGAGAACUGGCUGCGACAUCGAUCGCUCCAUGGAUCUCCAGGGUUGAUUGGGAUGAUCUGGCUGGCUAGGCGGGUGUCCCCUUCCUGCCUCACCGCUCCAUGUGUGUCCCUCCCGAAGCUGAGCUCUCGGUCUAAGCCGAUGGCCCCAAACACAGGAGGACGGUUUCCUCGGUCAGGCACACAAAGUAGCUGCGCUCCCCUGCUAGAACCUCCAAACAAGCUCUCAAAAACAGCCAACCCAAAAGUAAUCUGAGCGACGGUGAGGAUGAAACACCAUAAAUUCAAGUGAUAGCCAUGGACACUGUUUUGUGUUGAGCGAGUCUGUUCCUUAAUGUUUCAU
ensembl:misc_RNA 7SK 7SK RNA